UGGUGUCUUUAGCCCAGUGGACCCACACUAAUCCAUUCCGAACUUAGUGGUGAAACAUUGGAGCGGAGAAUAUACUUUAGAGGUUGCUCUGUGGGAAACUAUCUCGAUGCCAGGAU
rnacentral:rRNA from 1 species